GACGAACGCUGGCGGCGUGCCUAAUACAUGCAAGUCGAGCGGACGAAUCGAAAGCUUGCUUUUGAUUCGUUAGCGGCGGACGGGUGAGUAACACGUGGGCAACCUGCCCUGUAGGCGGGGAUAACACCGAGAAAUCGGUGCUAAUACCGGAUAACACGAAAUGUCGCAUGACGUUUCGUUGAGAGACGGCGCAAGCUGUCGCUACAGGAUGUGCCCGCGGCGCAUUAGCUAGUUGGUGAGGUAACGGCUCACCAAGGCGACGAUGCGUAGCCGACCUGAGAGGGUGAUCGGCCACACUGGGACUGAGACACGGCCCAGACUCCUACGGGAGGCAGCAGUAAGGAAUCUUCCGCAAUGGACGAAAGUCUGACGGAGCAACGCCGCGUGAGCGAAGAAGGCCUUCGGGUCGUAAAGCUCUGUUGUUAGGGAAGAACAAGUAACGCAGUAACUGGCGUUACCGUGACGGUACCUAACGAGAAAGCCACGGCUAACUACGUG
rnacentral:rRNA from 1 species